rnacentral:rRNA from 1 species
AGGAUAAACGCUGGCGGCGUGCCUUACGCAUGCAAGUCGCACGACCCCUUCGGGGGUAGUGGCGGACGGGUGAGUAACGCGUGGAUGACCUGCCCGGAACUGGGGGAUAACUAGCCGAAAGGUUAGCUAAUACCGCAUACGGUCGAUAGUCCGGUCUAUCGACCAAAGCCGCAAGGCGGUUUCGGAGGGGUCCGCGUCCGAUUAGCUAGUUGGUGGGUAAAGGCCUACCAAGGCGACGAUCGGUAGCUGGUCUGAGAGGACGAUCAGCCACACGGGGACUGAGACACGGCCCCGACUCCUACGGGAGGCAGCAGCGAGGGAUUUUGCGCAAUGGGCGAAAGCCUGACGCAGCAACGCCGCGUGAGGGAUGAAGGCCUUAGGGUUGUAAACCUCUUUUGCAAGGAAGAAGAUCUGACGGUACCUUGCGAAUAAGCCACGGCUAACUACGUGCCAGCAGCCGC